AACCGGUCUCAGUUCGGAUCGCAGUCUGCAACCCGACUCCGUGAAGCUGGAUUCGCUAGUAAUCGCGCAUCAGCCAUGGCGCGGUGAAUACGUUCCCGGGCCUUGUACACACCGCCCGUCAAGCCAUGGAAGCCGGGAGUGCCUGAAGUAUGCAACCGCAAGGAGCGUCCUAAGGUAAAACCGGUGACUGGGGCUAAGUCGUAACAAGGUACC
rnacentral:rRNA from 1 species